rnacentral:rRNA from 1 species
CCUACGGGUGGCAGCAGUGGGGAAUAUUGGGCAAUGGGCGCAAGCCUGACCCAGCAAUGCCGCGUGAAGGAAGAAGGCUUUCGGGUUGUAAACCUCUUUGACAGGGGAAGAGCAGAAGACGGUACCCUGAAAACAAGCCACGGCUAACUACGUGCCAGCAGCCGCGGUAAUACGUAGGUGGCACGCGGUGUCCGGAUUUACUGGGUGUAAAGGGCGUGUAGCCGGGAAGGCAAGUCAGAUGUGAAAUCUGGAGGCUCAACCUCCAAAUUGCAUUUGAAACUGUUUAUCUUGAGUACGGGAGAGGCAGGCGGAAUUCCUGGUGUAGCGGUGAAAUGCGUAGAUAUAAGGAGGAACACCAGUGGCGAAGGCGGUCUACUGGACAGCAACUGACGGUGAGGCGCGAAAGCGUGGGGAGCAAACAGGAUUAGAUACCCUUGUAGUC